UGGGGAAUAUUGCACAAUGGGCGCAAGCCUGAUGCAGCCAUGCCGCGUGUAUGAAGAAGGCCUUCGGGUUGUAAAGCACUUUCAGCGGGGAGGAAGGCGGUGAGGUUAAUAACCUCAUCGAUUGACAUUACCCGCAGAAGAAGCACCGGCUAACUCCGUGCCAGCAGCCGCGGUAAUACGGAGGGUGCAAGCGUUAAUCGGAAUUACUGGGCGUAAAGCGCACGCAGGCGGUUUGUUAAGUCAGAUGUGAAAUCCCCGGGCUCAACCUGGGAACUGCAUCUGAUACUGGCAAGCUUGAGUCUCGUAGAGGGGGGUAGAAUUCCAGGUGUAGCGGUGAAAUGCGUAGAGAUCUGGAGGAAUACCGGUGGCGAAGGCGGCCCCCUGGACGAAGACUGACGCUCAGGUGCGAAAGCGUGGGGAGCAAACAGG
rnacentral:rRNA from 1 species